ACGCUAUGAGUCUCGCAUUGUAGACCUCGCAUGAGAUUCAUGAAACUGCGACACAUUCGUUAAAAAGAUGAACUAAAGAUAUCACCGGUGACAAUAAUAUUAUGUAUAUAUAUAUUCUCACGUAUAUAUAGUAUUUUUACAUUUUUUACUGAAUCAACGUGAAUCAUGGAUCGUAACUCGUAAAUACCACGCAGUUAUUCGAUACUUGUGUCAUACUAUGUUCAUAUAGCCUUACAUACGUAUGAUUGAUACAUUAAUAGGACAAUCCUGAUAACGGUUCUGUGAAAGAAAACUUCAUUAUAUUUUCUUGUAUAUAUAUUUUUUUUUACUUGAACAACGCGAAGAUCAUCGAGGCCGUGAUGAUUUCAAAAUUUACUGCAUUAUUGUGAGAAGAAAACUUUGUAUAUACUUUGCAAAAAGAUGAGUUGGCUACGUAAUAGUACACUGCGAACGAGCUUCAGCAAGCCACGAUCCAGAAACUCUCCGCCGAAGGAUGCCGAUCCGUCCGCAUGUUAUGACAGCUUCUGCAAACAUUGGCAACAGACUUAUGAAAUUAUUCUGCAUUCUUUACCUCUUAAAGGGGUACCUAGUCAAGAUGAUGUGCUUGGAGUUGUUAAUCACAUUGACCAAAUGGUGACACUAUUGAUGCUGGAACUGCGGGAUUCGAAUUUACAUAAUCAGUAUCAACAGGGCAACACUGCAACGCAUUCUCCAUGCUUAGAAUAUUUAUUAAGUGAAAAUUUACUUGUUAAACUGUAUGAUUGGAGUAUACAUACAGGAAGAUUUAAUAAUGCUGUAAGAUUGGAACAAAUAAAGCUUUAUGAAUUGCUCAUUUCACAUAGCAAUACCCUUCUCGCACAUGAACCAGUUACUAGACCGCUCUUACGUUUAUUAGAAGAAUGCGCAAAUGAUAUUAUGCCAUUAGAAGUAGAAAAAAAAUUAGUAGUAUUAUUGAAUCAGCUGUGUGUCGUUUUAAUGCAAAAUAUGGCUUUACUUGAUUUGUUUUUUCAACCUAAUGCAAUUGGAAAGAACAAAUUUAUUAUAUUUAACUUAUUAAUACCUCAUAUUCAUCGAGAGGGUGGUGUUGGUCAACAAGCACGUGAUGCUAUGUUAUUAUGCAUGUCGCUCUCAAAAAAAAACGAUGAAGUUGGAUUAUACAUCGCUGAUCAUUCCAAUAUAUGUCCUGUACUAGCUACAGGAUUGAGUGGGCUUUAUUCUUUACUUCCAAGAAAACUUGACAUUGAGACAGAUGAUUGGUAUCAAUUGACACCAGAUGAUGUGAAUGACUUACCUGCACUUAUGCAGCUCAUGAAUUCUUUAGAAUUUUGCAACGCAGUUGCGCAAGUGGCGCAUCCAAUGGUACAGAAACAGUUGCUUGAAUUUUUAUACCAAGGUUUUUUAGUUCCCGUCAUGGGUCCGGCAUUAUUACAGGAUUCUCUUGGCUUGACUCUAGAACAGCUAGAUGUACAACAAUAUUGGACGACUGUGGAAGAAUUAGUUGCAGCGACAGCUUAUUUUGAUUUAUUUCUUCGAUCUGUGACCGAUCCUGGCUUGUUACGGUCGCUUAUUAGAUUUCUAUUAGAAGAUAAUUAUGAUGAUUGUAGAAUAUUGGAUAGUUUAAUACAAAGAAUUUCUUCUCGAUCGAGGUUAUGCAUAGUCACUCUGGCAUUGUUUGAAACUCUGGUUAAUUUAAACUGCGAAGAUAUCAUGUUAGAACUAUGUUUGAGUGCAUUAAGUCCAUGUUCGCAUAUAAUGCUUUCUCAACGUAGCCGACUGAGAGAUAUAGAUCCUUUUGGACGUGCGGCGGAAAAAUUUUUAUCUCUAACUCCAUAUUGCUGUUCUACUAUGUUUACAUCAUUGGAUUCUCAAACAAAUUCUUUACCUAGCACUACAUCAUGUACAUAUGACAAAUAUGGAUAUAUCGCGACCGAUUCAAUGAAAUCAUUACCAGCAUCAAUCAAUUAUGGUACGAAAUUAUCAGACAGCUUAUAUGGAAAUUAUCACGCAUAUCUCUGUGAUGCCAGACAAAAAAUAAAAACUUGCCGUAUUGCGUGUUCCAAUUGGUCUUGUCGGUACGAUGGUGAUUUAUCAGAAAAUAGUAAUACCAGCAGCGUAACUACAUUGAUAAAUGAAAAAAUUACAUCUGAUCAAUUGCAGAAGAAAACAGAAGAAUCUAAAACAUCAUCGCUGGAAAAAACAAUUAAGAAUGCAACAAUUAAAAGUUUGUGCGAAAAUAACGAGAGUGGGCUAAUAGAUAAUGUACUAUAUAAUUUUCAGUGUCUAUUAGAAAACAAAGAUAUAAACAGCAAUGAACAUAAUAUUAAAAAUGAAUUGACUAUGGAUGUUGUAUUAUCUCUUGACGAACAGACACAAUUGGAUGCUGAUAUUGCAGAAUUAUUAAAUGAAGAUAUAGGAAUGACAAAUUAUACGGAAGAAACUUAUUUAGAUAAAAAGGAAUCUGAUAGCUGUAUAGAUGAUUCAGCUACAACCAUGAAUUCGCUCAUGUCGCUAGGAGAGAGUAGCGGUUAUGAAAGCUUUGCAUUUAAAGGAUCGCCGGAGUCAACACCGGACAAUGAGACAAACGAAAAUCAUAUGAAUGAACACGAAGAAAUGCAUAUCAUAAUUAAGAAGGAGAUUAAUGAUAUUACUGGACAUAAUAUUAUAAAAUCGAAUUCUUUGACAACUGAAAAUACGUCAUUGAGUAAAUCUAGUACUUCGUAUCGACAAGAUAUAUUUAAUGGACAGCCAAACGUCGGCAUAUUUUUAGACGUAGUUUUACGAAAGCUUGAAUGUAUGACUAGCAAUAAUUUGUAUGUCAAUUUACAUCUGACAGGUCUUAUUAGUAGACUGGCGAUAUAUCCGCAACCUUUAUUGCAAUCCUUUCUGCUGAAUCAUUCUCUUGUGUUUCAACCUAGCAUCAGAUCUUUGUUUCAGGUGCUUGCAUCAUUAAAGCACAAAAUAGAUCAAUUUCUCUCAAAACACAACAACGUAGAUUUAUUGGUUGAACAAGCAAGAUUAUUUCUGAUUAGUCGAGAGGACAAGAUAGUAAAUGCGAGAAAAAAUGUAUUAGAAGCUGCUGCUCAAUCCUUAUCUGUUAAAAAGCAUUCUCUGACUGGUGAAUCAUUCUCAAGAGUUUUAUUUACAGGAGAACCGAAAAGAAGAAGCUUAACAUUAUCAUUUACACAAAUGUUCAAACGAUCAAGUAAUAGCUUAGGUAUAAGCAGCUUAACAAAUUCUAUCAGUCAGCCGUCCAGUAUGUCGGAAGAUCAGUUACAAAUGGUUGGCUCUGGAUAUAGAUAUGUGAAAACUUCAUGGGAAUCGCCAAAUGAAGUGAGUCCAGUGCAAAAUAUUGUUCUAUGUGCUGUUAUAUUAGAUGAAUGGCUUAAAGAGCUUGCAGCAAUAACUCAGGAACAUGCAAUUAUGUCUCUUACAGAUGAUAUUGGAUUUAAAGCUUAACAUUUGACAUUGACCUUGACGUUGACUUUUUCCGUCGCUCGAUUAGUAACAAAAAGUUACGAAGAAAUAAACAUAUUGGAAAAAAUCAAAAUUAAUAUGUUAUAGAAAAAUUUCACAAUUUAUUCAUCAGUUAAUACAGGAUUAGCUAACGAAUACAGAGAAAAUGUUACUUUGAAAAAUUGUGAUAUUUGCUUAUUAAAAUUGUACUGUUUUUUGAAUAAAAAUUCGGCCAAAUAAUAAUAAGAGAACGCAUAUAGUGCGCUCUUGUGAUAUGUCAAAAUGAAGUAAAGCAGCACGCAUAAUCUUUCAAUAUUCUGUAAAACGAAUUUGUUAAAGAUUUUGUCUCAUUUUUUAUUUCCUCUUGAUUAAACAUAGUAAUUUUAAUGCGUGCAAUAUUGAUGCAACCGAAUACAUUGUUUGAUUGGCAUAUAAAAAGUGGUGAUCACAAAUUUUAAUUUUAAAUCAAAUAGAUUUGGGAUAGGUUAUAUUUUCCGGAAAUGGAAUCCCCCGUGGGGGGGCGGAAUCCAUUACAUCCAUGGAUCCACGCACUUUCCCAUCCAUACAAUAAUUGUGGAUCUCACUUCAAAUUUCGAAGUAUGCAUAGACACAGUGGAUUCAGUCCUCCCUAUGAAAGACUCCACUUCCAGAAUAACUUAACCCAAACCUAUUUCUGAUUUAAAACUAAGAUUUGUAACCACUUAUAUACCGUUCAAACAAAUGUAAGCAUCCAAUAUUGCAUACAUAAAAUUAUUAUGUUUAAUCAAGAAUAUAUAAAAAAUGGAACUAAAGCGAUGGAAAAGCUCAAUGAUCUUGAUCUGCUUAGAGAUUAAGGUCAAUGUUAAGAUCAACCAGAAGUCAUUUAGAGCUGUGUAAAGUGAAACUUUUCGAAAUAGCGCACUGUACGGAAUUUCGGCACGCUAUAACAAGAUUACUACCAAAUUCCCUCAAAUUCAGAGCCAUAUGAAACUUGCACGAAUAAGCCUGUUCAAAUAUACCAUCGGGAGAGGACGUUGGGACAUUGCGCUCACAAAUAUAUAUUGCUAUGCGAUUGGAUCGUUACUCUCACUUACACUACUCGGGAGCAGUCUAUCAUGUACGGAAGAGAUGUUGUGCGCCAAUUCGAGAUUUCAUUGUAUAUUUAUAACUUAUGAAUAUUUAAAGAAAAUUGAAAACUAAAACAAAAUAUUUAGCACAACACAAAACAUUUCUACAAUUCUUCUAUUUUAUAGAUACUUAUAUAGGAUUUCUCCAAAUUAUCAGACUUUCUCUUAAUGGCAGAUUUCUUACGGCCAUUGCACGUUAAAAAAUUUUAGUCAUUGUAAGGCCGUAAGAAAAUUGACCAAUCACAAUCAAACAUUCUAAUACAUAAUAAAAAUGUUUGAACUGUGAUUGAUUGAUUUAUUUACGGCUUUACGAUUACGACUAAAAUUUUGUAACGUGCAAUGGCCUUUAGAACAGUUCAAGACGAAAAUCUUAAUACAAAAAUAUUGAGACUAUAAUAUUUUUAAACGGGAAGCGAUUAUAUUUUACGAAUGAGAGGGGUGAGAUUUCGCGCGCUCAGGCACAGUUCCAAAUUUUUACUUGAAUCAUUUUUGAGAUGCCUUUAGUUGUCGCAUCCAUUCGUAAAAAGAAUAUACUAAAACCUGUAUCAGACUACGCAUUGAAGGUUGAGAUUGAAGAUUGAAGAUUGAAAUUUAACCAAUCACUUCAAAGAAAUUUUAGUUUCUUUUGUUGUGAUUAGUCAAAUUCCAAGCUUCAAUUUUCAAUGUGUAGUCUGAUACGGGCAUAAUGCAAUGCGUAGAGAAGCAUCCAUUCGUAAAAAGAAUAUAUCAAUGCAAUGCGUAAGGAAGCAGGAAAACAUAAUGACAAUGUUAUUAAAUUUAUACGAUAAUCAUAAAAAAGGCGCCCUAUUUAUAAAGCACUUUUGUCACUUGUUAUUUCACCUGAGUACGCGUAAUUCUAGUUGUUUCAUUUGUAAAAUAUAAUCGCUUUCCGUUUAAAAACCAUUAUAGUUUCGAGAUUUUUGUAUUAAAAUGGAUUUUUAUUUUGAAAUGUUUUAAGAAAUCUGCCAUAAAGAGAAAGUCCAGUUUUAAAACGCUCUGUAUAUAAAAACUAAAAAAAAAAUGCGUUAAUAUAAUAUUGUUGUUCAGAUUUACUUAUUAUUGUUUAGGAUAGUUAUCAACUUGUUAAAAUAAAAAUCUUUUAAAUUUUA